rnacentral:rRNA from 1 species
UACGAAGGGGGCUAGCGUUGCUCGGAAUCACUGGGCGUAAAGCGCGCGUAGGCGGCUUUGUAAGUCAGAGGUGAAAGCCUGGAGCUCAACUCCAGAACUGCCUUUGAGACUGCAUCGCUAGAAUCAUGGAGAGGUUAGUGGAAUUCCGAGUGUAGAGGUGAAAUUCGUAGAUAUCAGGAGGAACACCUGCGGCGAAGGCGGGUUGCUGGGCUGAUACUGACGCUGAGGCGCGAAAGCCAGGGGAGCGAACGGG